rnacentral:rRNA from 1 species
UGGGGAAUAUUGCGCAAUGGGGGAAACCCUGACGCAGCGACGCCGCGUGUGGGAUGAAGGUCUUCGGAUUGUAAACCACUGUCGCGAGGGACGAAGCUCUGACGGUACCUCGAAAGGAAGCACCGGCUAACUCUGUGCCAGCAGCCGCGGUAAGACGAGGGAUCCUAGCGUUGUUCGGAAUCAUUGGGCGUAAAGCGGGUGUAGGCGGACUUAUAAGUCAGGUGUGAAAUCCCAGGGCUCAACCCUGGAAGUGCACUUGAUACUGCAAGUCUUGAGUGUGGUAGAGGCUAUUAGAAUUCCUGGUGUAGUGGUGAAAUACGUAGAUAUCAGGAGGAAUACCGGAGGCGAAGGCGGAUAGCUGGGCCAACACUGACGCUGAGACCCGAAAGCGUGGGGAUCAAACAGGAUUAGAUACCCACGUAGUCCCUGAGCGGGCUGGCAAGGCGCAU